AUUGAAGGAGAAUUUAAGGAAUUGAAGACGGGUCCCCCAACAUGUGUAGUGCUUGGGGAUGCAGAUGAAGCAUUUUCAUUUGCUAACAUGAAUGAAGCAUUUACAACAUUGAUGAAUAUGGAGGACCCCAAGCUAUUCUCCCUUGGGUAUGGGAAGUACUACAAACACAAAGGCAAGUUACAGUUAGAUGUUGGAGCCUUUGCCUCUGCCUUAGAAUUUGCUUGUGACAUCAAGAGUGAAGUGAUUGGUAAACCUUCACCGCUGUUUUUUGGUACUGCCUUAUCUGACAUAGGAAUUACAGCAAAGGAGGCUGUGAUGGUCGGGGAUGACAUAGUGUCUGAUGUUGGUGGAGCACAGAAGAGUGGCCUGAGGGGAGUGUUAGUGAGGACUGGCAAGUAUACACCAAAAUGUGAAGACCACCCCUCAGUGAAGCCACAUUUUAUUGCCAACAACCUCCUGGAAGCUGUUGAGAUGAUUAUACAAGUUCAGAAGUUCUUCCUGUCACUGACUUCAGCCCAAAAAGAUGAUCUGUUGGAGACUUGUAAGCUUGACUGGCCAUUCUUCCAGACUUAAGGCAUUCCACUCGGUUUCUAAGUCAUCCAUAUCAAUAAAUGUUGAACUGUAUUUGGAAGCCACUUUUGAAGUGCCUUUUUUGACAGAGAAGUAACAUGACUUGGUUGCAAUUGAUGGAGUUGGAACAAUGUUUCAAAGUUAUAUGGAAAGCGUGCUUGCACUUCACUGAUAAGUUGUGUGACAAACUGUUUGCAACGCUCUUGAACAUAUAAUACCUUGGGCUCACUCGAAGAGCUAUUCACAACUGCAUUACUGAACUCCUGACCAAACUGAAUUGAACAAUGUGGCAUCUGGUAAUCCAGAAAUUUUUAUGUAGGAAGACCUUCCAAUGAACUCCUAUGCAGAAGACGUGGAUCCGCAAUCAUUUGCAUGAGAUUUCUGGACAUAUUAAGUAGGUACUUUAAUGGUCAAUUUUCGAUGGAUUUGGCAUCCUGUGUACCGCCGGCAAGUCCGUGGGCUGGUAACACACGUCUUCUCCGAGGUGCCCACCGUUUCUCUGUGGAUGUCGGUCACACUAGAAUAACCCGUUAUAGUACAUCCUUCUUUCCUCACACAGCCAAACUGUGGAAUGUUCUGCCUUCUUCUGUAUUUCCAUACUUAUACAAUGUGUCUCGCUUCAAACAGUAGGUUUUUCCGCAUUUCCGAGUUGUAGAUUACAGUAAUAUAACCUUUUUCUUUUCUAUUUUUAAGUUCUUUUUACUCUUAUUUUUUCGCCCCCCAGGCUUCGUUGUGGGUUGAUGGCCUGUGCCUAGGUGGGCUAUUCUCCGUAAAAAAAUAAAUAAAUAAUAAACCCCUAAGAAUUUUACAUACAUACAGCUUGUACAGUUUGUUUGGAGGAUCUUUAUAAGCAUCACUUAAAAGUUUGGCGGUAUGACAGCAGUCAUUUGACACCACCAUAUCAAAGUGCAGCUUCAAUGCAUCCCAUUGAUGAAGGAUCACAUUAAUGGCAUUUAAACGAACUAGUUUUAGUUAUUUUAGGACUACUUGAGAACCAGCUAUGAGUUUCUCUGGUAAUAAAUGUUAGUACAGUAGGCAGUGCUUCAAAUGCUUUUCUGGUAGCUAGAUGUAAUGAGUGAUAUACACACCUAAACACAGUACUAUUAGGAUUAUCAAUUUGCAACAGACUUGAAAGAGAGUACUUAUGACCUACCAUAGAAUUUCCUCCAUCACAUCCUAGUCCAGUCAACUUUCCUAAUUUCAGAUCAUUUUCCUCCAUGCAAUUUUUCAAAGCCUUGUACAGUGUAUCUGCUUUACAGUUCUGAAGUGGCACAAUACAAUAAAUUGUAUCAACCAUCUUUAUUUCUUAGCACUGUAGUAUCGCACACUUAAGAGCCAGACACGAGACAUUUGCUUCAUUUGUUCUCUCGUCUACUAUGAAACUAAAAUGUUGUUCACCAAUGUCUUCUCUCAACUGGUUUGCAAAACGUGGAACAAGUAAAUUCCUCUGUAUUUACGAACAUUUUGUUCUGUGCAAUUUGAGUUUCUGUGGAACUGUAUAUUUGUUAUCUAACAUAGGCAGAAAUUCCUCAGGGUAAUAAUCUACAGAGAGUGUGGAUGAGUGUUCUGCAAUGUAAACAGCAAUUUGAAGUUUUGCUACUUUUGUUUGCAAAGAGCUAACAAUGGAUUUUACUGCUACAAGAACUCAUAUUCACUUUGUUUCUUGCCAUCACUGUGACCCACUAAUGACUUUGAAUGGAGCCUGCAUACGUGUGCCUCAUACUUUGCAUCAUGCCUCAGUACUGUCUCCCACUGCUGGUUGAAGCCAUCCUGGAGGUAAAAUAUCUCGAAUUACCACAAAGAAUAUGACGACUUAACUUUCGUGAUCAGAGGUUACCUCAGUUGAAUAAAAUUAUCUGACGUCAGCCAGAGCAAAAUGAAAUACCGAAGGUCGUUCAGAAAUCCAUAGUGUUAAAUGCACAAUAAUAAUAUGAGGUGAGGGAGACUCACCUGACAUGUCUUCAACCUCUAAACCUCUUGCCAUUACCCAGUCAUCCAUUUUGUCCUUGGAUAUGUUUCUACUCAAAUAAAGACAGCAAGAGUGGGUCUGAGCAGAUUAACAAGUCAAUAAAAACAUCUCUUUGUACCACAUUGGAAACACUGCUUAUUAUCCAAUCAGUGAAGUUAACCAACAUUGGGUCUGGUUAGUACUCUUGUCCCUAAGAACACCAGAUGUUGCUGGUAUAAGGACUCUUUUGUUAACAAGGAUCUCAUGGCUUUGUCAGCUGUCCUUGGUUAAAUUGACUGAAUAUCAAUUACAGUAGACCCUUGCCAUUUGUGAGUUUGCGAUUUCGACGAUUUGCAGUAAGCAGAUUUUUUUUUUAUGGGGAUUAGCCCACCCGGGCACGGGUCA
rnacentral:misc_RNA from 1 species